CCUCCUUAUACGAUUUAGAACUUAUUUGUUCGUAGUGUCCACACAGAUGAUUGUUAGUUAGUUUUACCCUUUGGGUUUAACUGAUUAAUAUGCUCUUUAAAAAUUUGGAAAAGCUGAUAAUAAAAUUCGUAUAAAUAACACUGUUAUUUGUACAGAGUUUUCAAAAGUAAAAAAGAAUGAUAGCAGUAUCAUUCAGUGCCAAUUUAAUCAUUUAUGAUUAAUUGGUAUCUACUUUAGUAUUCAAUAUUAACUUCUGGCGAAGUUAAACUGUCACAUAACAAAGACCCGUUUGGGUUGUAUGGUUAAGUGACUAAANCGUACACGGUUGGUAUGCC
rnacentral:misc_RNA from 1 species